UGGGGAAUUUUGGACAAUGGGCGAAAGCCUGAUCCAGCAAUGCCGCGUGUGUGAAGAAGGCCUUCGGGUUGUAAAGCACUUUUGUCCGGAAAGAAAUCCUUGGCUCUAAUACAGUCGGGGGAUGACGGUACCGGAAGAAUAAGCACCGGCUAACUACGUGCCAGCAGCCGCGGUAAUACGUAGGGUGCAAGCGUUAAUCGGAAUUACUGGGCGUAAAGCGUGCGCAGGCGGUUUGCUAAGACCGAUGUGGAAUCCCCGGGCUCAACCUGGGAACUGCAUUGGUGACUGGCAGGCUAGAGUAUGGCAGAGGGGGGUAGAAUUCCACGUGUAGCAGUGAAAUGCGUAGAGAUGUGGAGGAAUACCGAUGGCGAAGGCAGCCCCCUGGGCCAAUACUGACGCUCAUGCACGAAAGCGUGGGGAGCAAACAGGAUUAGAUACCCUGGUAGUCCACGCCCUAAACGAUGUCAACUAGUUGUUGGGGAUUCAUUUCCUUAGUAACGUAGCUAACGCGUGAAGUUGACCGCCUGGGGAGUACGGUCGCAAGAUUAAAACUCAAAUGAAUUGACGGGGUCAUAGCUGUUUCCU
rnacentral:rRNA from 1 species